rnacentral:rRNA from 1 species
ACUGCUCAGUAACACGUGGACAACCUGCCCUUAGGUUGGGUAUAAACCCGGGAAACUGGGUAUAAUACCCGAUAGGUCUCGAUUGCUGGAAUGCAUCGAGAUUUAAAGCUCCGGCGCCUAAGGAUGGGUCUGCGGCCUAUCAGGUAGUAGUGGGUGUAGCGUACCUACUAGCCUACGACGGGUACGGGUUGUGAGAGCAAGAGCCCGGAGAUGGAUUCUGAGACACGAAUCCAGGCCCUACGGGGUGCAGCAGGCGCGAAAACUUUACAAUGCUGGCAACAGCGAUAAGGGAACCUCGAGUGCCAGGUUACAAAUCUGGCUGUCGAGAUGCCUAAAAAGCAUUUCAUAGCAAGGGCCGGGCAAGACCGGUGCCAGCCGCCGCGGUAACACCGGCGGCUCGAGUGGUAACCGUUAUUAUUGGGUCUAAAGGGUCUGUAGCCGGCCGGAUAAGUCUCUUGAGAAAUCUGGCAGCUUAACUGUCAGGCUUUCAGGAGAUACUGUCUGGCUCGAGGCCGGGAGAGGUGAGAGGUACUUCAGGGGUAGGGGUGAAAUCUUGUAAUCCUUGAAGGACCACCAGUGGCGAAGGCGUCUCACCAGAACGGACCUGACGGCAAGGGACGAAAGCUAGGGGCACGAACCGGAUUAGAUACCCGGGUAGUCCUAGCCGUAACGAUACUCGCUAGGUGUCGGCCACGGUGCGACCGUUGUCGGUGCCGUAGGGAAGCCGUGAAGCGAGCCACCUGGGAAGUACGGCCGCAAGGCUGAAACUUAAAGGAAUUGGCGGGGGAGCAC